UACAGAGGUCUCAAGCGUUGUUCGGAUUCAUUGGGCGUAAAGGGUGCGUAGGCGGUUCGUUAAGUCCUGUGUGAAAUCCCCCGGCUCAACUGGGGAACUGCACAGGAAACUAGCGGGCUUGAGUUCGGGAGAGGUGAGUGGAACUGCGAGUGUAGAGGUGAAAUUCGUAGAUAUUCGCAAGAACACCAGUGGCGAAGGCGGCUCACUGGCCCGGUACUGACGCUGAGGUGCGAAAGCGUGGGGAGCAAACAGG
rnacentral:rRNA from 1 species